CUCACCAGGUCAGGACACGGUAAGGAUUGACGGACUGAAGGCUCUUUCUCGAUUCCGUGGAAAGUGGUGCAUGGCCGUUUUUGGUUGGUGGAUCGAUCCGUCUGGUUAAUUCCGUUAACGAACGAGACCUCGGCACUCCGAAUAGCGCGGCGGACGUCGCGGCCUCCGGGCCGUCUUCCGCACGAGCUUCUUAGAGGGACCGUCCCCCGCCGAGGAAGGAGGUGCGAGGCAACGACAGGUCUGUGAUGCCCUUAGAUGUUCUGGGCCGCACGCGCAUUACACUGACGCGUCCAACGGGUGACUCCCGACCCGAAGGGGCCGGGGAAUCCGCAAGGCGCGUCGUGAUGGGGAUUGAACGUUGCAAUUGUUGUUCACGAACGAGGAAUUCCUAGUAGGCGCGGGGUCAUCAACCCGCGCCGAUUACGUCCCUGCCCUUUGUACACACCGCCC
rnacentral:rRNA from 1 species